AUUUAAACCCAACAUAUCGAAACGCGACGCCGAGAUCGAGGAUAUUUGGGCGUCAGUGCCGAGAGACUAUGAAAUGAGGACUACUAGACGCAGAGAGAUACACGGGUCGCGGAAAUUGAUUCCCGAAACGUACAAACACGAUACUAGAAUGCACGUAGAGGACACACCGAGCGUGAGGCGCGUAUCGGUUACACGUGAAUUACGCGAAAACACGAGCGUGAAGGACUCACCCGAGACGUUACACGAUCUUAAGCCAUACACGCGCAGACCUG